CAGAUAAUUUAGAAGUCGAGAAAAAGACAAAACUAAAUGUUCUGGAGGCUGGAAGUCCAAGAUCAAGGUGCUAUCAGGGUUGGUUUCGGCUGUGGCCUCUCUUCCUGGCUUGUAGACAGCUAUCUUCUCGCAGUGUCCUCACGUGGCCUCUUUGUGUGAAGGAAGCUGCUAAAGAAUGUGCUUGACUAAAACAAGGCAAUAAGCAAAAGGAAGUCAUAGCAUCCAGAAAAUGGGAUCCAUCAUGCGCACAAAGAAAAGGUGAAGAAAAUUUCCAGGAUGUUCAGAACCCACCAAAAACGAAAGAUUCUGGUCCAGAUCAGAAGAGAGGGAAACACUCUGAAAAAGUCCCUCAAAUACAAAAUUAAACAGAGUUUAAAUGAUGUGCUUGACCACAAUAAAAGGCUUCUUGCUCU
ensembl:lncRNA LINC02147 long intergenic non-protein coding RNA 2147